GCGUCGUAACGUAAGAGACGCGUAAGCGUAUCGUAACACGCGCGUAGAACGAGAGCGCUACGAGCACGAAACACGAACAAGUUCAAACAAAUCCGCACACGAAGCGUCGUCGUAGCGUAGCGUAUGAGAUUUCUGUCAUCAUUAUGACAGGCGUAGCGUAAUUCAGGCGUAAAAAACAAAACUUCUUAAAUAAUCAAACAAUGAAAAA